rnacentral:misc_RNA from 1 species
GAAAUGCGAUAAUUAAUGUGAAUUGCAGAAGUCAGUGAAUCAUCGAGUCUUUGAACGCACAUUGCACCCCCUGGUAUUCCGGGGGGUAUGCCUGUCCGAGCGUCAUUGCUGCCCUCAAGCCCGGCUUGUGUGUUGGGUCCUCGUCCCCCCCCGGGGGACGGGCCCGAAAGGCAGCGGCGGCACCGCGUCCGGUCCUCGAGCGUAUGGGGCUUUGUCACACCGCUCUCGUAGGCCCGGCCGGCGCUGGCCGACGCUGAAAAGCAACCAUUAUUUCUCCAGGUUGACCUCGGAUCAGGUAGGGAUACCCGCUGAACUUAAGC